rnacentral:tRNA from 1 species
GGCGUGGUGGUCUAGUGGUAUGAUUCUCGCUUAGGGUAACACCCUAUGCCUAUAACAAUAAGCUUGCGAGAGGUCCCGGGUUCAAUCCCCGGCCAGGCCC